ensembl:snRNA U6 U6 spliceosomal RNA
UCGCUUCAGCUGCACAUAUGCUGAGACUGGAAUGAUACAGAGAAGAUUAACAUGGCCCCUGUGCAAAAACGACAUGCAAAUUUGUGAACCAUUCCAUAUUUAA